rnacentral:rRNA from 1 species
UACGUAGGGUGCGAGCGUUAAUCGGAAUUACUGGGCGUAAAGGGUGCGCAGGCGGUUAUAUAAGACAGAUGUGAAAUCCCCGGGCUCAACCUGGGAACUGCGUUUGUGACUGUAUGACUAGAGUACGGUAGAGAGGGGUGGAAUUCCUGGUGUAGCGGUGAAAUGCGUAGAUAUCAGGAGGAACACCGGUGGUGUAGACGGCUCUCUGGACCGUAACUGACGCUGAGGCACGAAAGCGUGGGUAGCAAACAGG